rnacentral:rRNA from 1 species
UACGUAGGGGGCAAGCGUUGUCCGGAUUUAUUGGGCGUAAAGAGCGUGUAGGCGGCUAGAUAGGUCCGUUGUGAAAACUCGAGGCUCAACCUCGAGACGUCGAUGGAAACCAUCUGGCUAGAGUCCGGAAGAGGAGAGUGGAAUUCCUGGUGUAGCGGUGAAAUGCGCAGAUAUCAGGAAGAACACCCGUGGCGAAGGCGGCUCUCUGGUACGUGACUGACGCUGAGAGCGAAAGCGUGGGGGAGCAAACAGG